AUGCGAACUAGCUAUUAUGCAAAGAAGAAAUCUUAUAGAACGAGAGUCCUCAGAAAGCUGUGUUCUUUCUCAUCAGUGGAAUCCCCAGAGGACUGUAUGAGAGCAGAAUUAAUGUCAUACUUUUAUCCCCCUCGUUGUGGAAGAGAAGAGUGUAGUGAUGGACACAGAGCACUAACUUCAGCUGUCACACAUUCAUAUGAUAUGGACACUUCAACCUCCCCUGUCUCCUUUCCUCUUCUGUCAUUGGAGGGGGGGGGGGGGUCUCCAUUCCACUCCGCCAACCAGCUGUCUCCUCCACACCUAGCCUGGAGUCACCUUACCUGGGAAGUGUCUGUCUGUCUGUCGGCCCAUUGAACCUGAUUUAAACUAUGACUAUAGGGCUGGAUUCAAUUUGUAGCGCAGAAGAUCAGUGUUGUAGCACGGUUUAAAUUUGUAAGUCAUUUUCGAUUGAGCCGACAUAUGAAGUGUUUACCGCGGAAGCAUUGCAUUUAAAACGGCAAUUUGUGAGUGCUAGGUCCAUUUUUGGACUUUUAAAUUGGUGGUAUACCCACUCAUUCUUGAAGAAUAUAACUUAUAAAUGCUUAGUUCAACUGUUGUACCCCAUCACAAUACAUAUUUGAACCUUUUACACCUCUUUGUUUGUAAACAAACAUUGUAUAGCCUCCAAACAUGGUUAAAACUAUCAUUUUAAUCUCAGAGCUGGUCAGUCCUUGCACCCAUAGUUCAGUCUAUGAAUUUGAGAGCGCUUACAUUUCUCCAGCCCCAUCCCUCCUCUGUUCACCAAAUCAGUGGUGGUUGGCCUUUGUUGUUUGAAUGGCAGAUUUCACCUUUAAACGCUGAUUUUAGGCGCUACGGAUUCAAUCCAAUUCUAGGUCUCAAUGAGAUUUCUUUAUUUUUGUAUUUAUUUAUUAAAAUGGAUUAAACCAGAGAUAUGGUGUGUGAUGUGAUUUAAUGGGGUAUAUGUACUAUAGUAAGGAUAAACCAAUGUAUAAUUACUCCUCUGAAACGGCCAUGGAACAUUGUCUUUUUUUUAGCAGGUCAGAUGAAAGUCCAAGUGGAUUUCAGUACAUUUUGACAAGAGCAUACUGUACAAAUCAUUUUGAUGGCAAAGUAAACUAUACUAAAUCAAGUACAACCAUCAGCCUUGCUAUCUACAUUCAUCCAACACUGCAUCAGUUCUGAAAUCUUCAUUUUUAAAAGAUACUGAUAAUACAUAUGUAAUAGAUAGGCCUACAAAUAUUCCAACAACAAGCUCAUCAAUCCAAAUGUUUAAAAUAUAGUCAACUUCAAGUAGAAGUGCACAGAUAUACUGUAUUAUGUGAUAUCAAGUACUCUCGUUGUGUUUGUGAUGUGCCUAUUAGAAGUUAAGCGUACAAUGUAACACUGAUAAUGGGGAAUUACAUGGAGCACACUGUGGGAACAUUUUACAAAAUGAUAUGCAACAUGAAAAAAAAAGUAUGCUAAUGCUAUAUUAACACAAUGAACUUAGCUCUUCUUCUUUGCGUUUCCCUUUAGUCCCUGGCCUUCUCUCUAGUAUCUCCCAUGACAUGAGAGACCACUCUAGUUAUGACUGAAGCAGUCCUCCAGAGGGAGAUACUGACAGAGUUUCUUGGGGCGGAGAGCAGGCUCUCAUGGCUCAGCUCCCAGACUUGUCUGUGGAUCAUCACCAUCUUCGUCGUGGCAGCUGGUUCUAAUGAGCACCCAGGUCCAGAGUCUCCAGACCAGCACUGGAUGGGAAACACGAACACCCUCAGGGGUUCCACAGCCUUCAAAGUUUCUGCAGGAGUCAAAGGGAGAUGUUUGUCAUUGAGCUGAUUGUUCCAUAAGAUUCAGGGCUUUUCUAUAUCAUUAACGAUUAAACUAAAUCUGAUCACUCUCAGCUGCUGCUCAAGACCUUUUGCAGAGAGUGGAUCUCAAUCUGUUCCCUCUUUAUUCUCACACAGUCUUGCUUGUCUUGGAUCAUAAAGGCUAGAAUCAUCUUGACCAGGAUCUGGACAAUAUCAUAUUGAUCAAUUUGGGACAAAAGCAUGAAAAUUGGCACACUUGUAUAAUUUUUCACGCUGAAGAAAACCUGAUGAAAUGUAAUUUAAUCAAAGUCCCGGUUCGACCUGUAGCGCCUCCUAUAGGUCAAUGGUGAAAAUGCAUUUACCUGUAUUGAUGUUUUGGGUCAUGGCUUCCACUGUGUUGGGUCUAUAUAGUCCCAGGGGGCACUACAUGCUUACACGGGGCUUUGCUGAAUUGGCACUAUAUCAGGUUUUGUACAGCGUGAAAAAUUAUACAAGUGUGUCAAUUUUCACGCUUUUGUCCCAAAUCGAUCAAUAUGGCAUUGUCCUGAUAUACAUGCGUUCCAAAUUUCCCUCUUCUAUACCAAACUGAACAAUUUUUUAAACUACUGGAUUUAUGCUGACAAACACACACACUUAUGUCAGUUGGGCAGAUGAUGAACAGUAACUACAUACUGUACCUCCACCAGGAUGGCUCCCCAAACCUAACUCCCCUCCCUCAUACUGUACCUCCACCAGGAAGGCUCCCCAAACCCAACUCCCCUCCCUCAUACUGUACCUCCACCAGGAUGGCUCCCCAAACC
rnacentral:lncRNA from 13 species